UUCAACCUGCUUCAGCUGGAUCCUGAUUGCAGAGGAUGCUGUCAGGAGGAAGCACAAUUUGAAACCAAAAAGUAUUCAUCCAUUGUUUCUAAGCAAGAAUGCCAUCACUCAAACUGUAUGCAGGAGCUAUUCUUGAAGUUUGUGGAUGAAAAUUGGGAAGGUUCCCUCAAGUCCAAGUAUGUCCGUGGUUCAGACCCUGUAUUAAAGCUUUUGGACGACAAUGGGAACAUUGCUGAAGAACUGAGCAUUCUCAAAUGGAACACAGA
rnacentral:lncRNA from 1 species